rnacentral:rRNA from 1 species
UCUUUUGGAGGGAAUUGAAGGUCGUGCCUGCCCACUGAAGGUUUUAAAGGGCCGCGGUAUUUUGACCGUGCAAAGGUAGCAUAAUCAUUAGUCUUUUAAUUGUGGGCUGGAAUGAAUGGUUUGACGAAAUAAUUAUUGUCUCAUAAUUAUUAAUUGAAUUUUACUUUUGAGUUAAAAGGCUCAGGUGAGAAUGAGGGACGAGAAGACCCUAUAGAUCUUUAUAUUUUGUUAAUGUAUGUAUAUAUUAAUAGUUGUUUAGUAUUUUAUAUUAAGGAGUAUUUUGUUGGGGUGACGAGAGAAUAGAAAAACUUCUUUUAAAUUAACUUUGAUGCAUGGUUAUAUAAUCCUUUAAUAGGGAAUUAAGAUUAAGAUACCUUAGGGAUAACAGCGUAAUUUUAUUGGAGAGUUCUUAUUGAUAAUAAAGAUUGCGACCUCGAUGUUGGAUUAAGAGUAUAUAUUGGUGAAGAGGUUAAUA